AACGCAAAUUGCGCUUGAGGCUUCGGCCAAGAGCAUGUCUGGCUCAGCGUCGGCUUACUACCCUCAAUGAAUUCCCUUGUGGACACUGAUUGGAGCUGGCUUUCCGGUUUUCCGACUAGGUUGCCGGUCAGCUGAAAAACAUUCGCGCUAUGGGAGCUGCUUUCCCUUCAAAAAGGAAAGCCGAGUUCCGAUUUGGUAGGUGACCUUUGCCGGUUGCAUGCCUUCGUUGCUCGCCAUGGCUUCCAUGAAAGCGUGUGCAGGACGCCUUUUGGCUUUCGACCUGAGCUCAGGCAAGAACACCCGCUGAACUUAA
rnacentral:misc_RNA from 1 species